rnacentral:rRNA from 1 species
GACGAACGCUGGCGGCGUGCUUAACACAUGCAAGUCGAACGGAAAGGCUCCUGCUUGCAGGGGUACUCGAGUGGCGAACGGGUGAGUAACACGUGGGUGAUCUGCCUUGUACUCUGGGAUAAGCUUGGGAAACUGGGUCUAAUACCUGAUAAUAACUGCCUUUAGUGUGGUGGUUGGAAAGUUUUUUCGGUGCAAGAUGAGCUCGCGGCCUAUCAGCUUGUUGGUGGGGUAAUGGCCUACCAAGGCGUCGACGGGUAGCCGGCCUGAGAGGGUGUACGGCCAAAUUGGGACUGAGAUACGGCCCAGACUCCUACGGGAGGCAGCAGUGAGGAAUAUUGCACAAUGGGCGGAAGCCUGAUGCAGCGACGCCGCGUGGGGGAUGACGGCCUUCGGGUUGUAAACUACUUUCGACAGGGACGAAGCUUUUUGUGACGGUACCUGUAUAAGAAGCACAGGCUAAAUACGUG